rnacentral:rRNA from 1 species
AUUGAACGCUGGCGGCAUGCUUUACACAUGCAAGUCGAACGGCAGCGCGGGCUUCGGCCUGGCGGCGAGUGGCGAACGGGUGAGUAAUACAUCGGAACGUGCCCAGUAGUGGGGGAUAGCUCGGCGAAAGCCGGAUUAAUACCGCAUACGACCUGAGGGUGAAAGCGGGGGAUCUUCGGACCUCGCGCUAUUGGAGCGGCCGAUGGCAGAUUAGCUAGUUGGUGGGGUAAAGGCCUACCAAGGCGACGAUCUGUAGCUGGUCUGAGAGGACGACCAGCCACACUGGGACUGAGACACGGCCCAGACUCCUACGGGAGGCAGCAGUGGGGAAUUUUAGACAAUGGGCGAAAGCCUGAUCCAGCAAUGCCGCGUGUGUGAUGAAGGCCUUCGGGUUGUAAAGCACUUUUGGCGGGAACGAAAAGGACUGUGCCAAUACCGCGGUUCGAUGACGGUACCCGCAGAAUAAGCACCGGCUAACUACGUG